UUGACCGCUUGAGAGAUCAAGUUUUCCCUUCGGGGACAAUGGUGACAGGUGGUGCAUGGUUGUCGUCAGCUCGUGUCGUGAGAUGUUGGGUUAAGUCCCGCAACGAGCGCAACCCCUAUCCUUAGUUGCCAGCAUUGAGUUGGGCACUCUAGGGAGACUGCCGGUGACAAACCGGAGGAAGGUGGGGAUGACGUCAAAUCAUCAUGCCCCUUAUGAGUUGGGCUACACACGUGCUACAAUGGACGGUACAAAGGGCAGCGAGACCGCGAGGUGGAGCCAAUCCCAUAAAGCCGUUCCCAGUUCGGAUUGCAGGCUGCAACUCGCCUGCAUGAAGUCGGAAUCGCUAGUAAUCGCAGGUCAGCAUACUGCGGUGAAUACGUUCCCGGGUCUUGUACACACCGCCCGUCACACCACGAGAGUUUGCAACACCCGAAGCCGGUGAGUAACNAUAAGGAGC
rnacentral:rRNA from 1 species